rnacentral:rRNA from 1 species
GGGCAGUCCUAUACUGCAGUCGACGCUUUGUGGUUCAACUGAUUUGAAGAGCUUGCUCAGAUAUGACGAUGGACAUUGCAAAGAGUGGCGAACGGGUGAGUAACACGUGGGAAACCUACCUCUUAGCAGGGGAUAACAUUUGGAAACAGAUGCUAAUACCGUAUAACAAUGACAACCGCAUGGUUGUUAUUUAAAAGAUGGUUCUGCUAUCACUAAGAGAUGGUCCCGCGGUGCAUUAGCUAGUUGGUAAGGUAAUGGCUUACCAAGGCGAUGAUGCAUAGCCGAGUUGAGAGACUGAUCGGCCACAAUGGGACUGAGACACGGCCCAUACUCCUACGGGAGGCAGCAGUAGGGAAUCUUCCACAAUGGGCGAAAGCCUGAUGGAGCAACGCCGCGUGUGUGAUGAAGGGUUUCGGCUCGUAAAACACUGUUGUAAGAGAAGAAUGACAUUGAGAGUAACUGUUCAAUGUGUGACGGUAUCUUACCAGAAAGGAACGGCUAAAUACGUGCCAGCAGCCGCGGUAAUACGUAUGUUCCAAGCGUUAUCCGGAUUUAUUGGGCGUAAAGCGAGCGCAGACGGUUAUUUAAGUCUGAAGUGAAAGCCCUCAGCUCAACUGAGGAAUUGCUUUGGAAACUGGAUGACUUGAGUGCAGUAGAGGAAAGUGGAACUCCAUGUGUAGCGGUGAAAUGCGUAGAUAUAUGGAAGAACACCAGUGGCGAAGGCGGCUUUCUGGACUGUAACUGACGUUGAGGCUCGAAAGUGUGGGUAGCAAACAGGAUUAGAUACCCUGGUAGUCCACACCGUAAACGAUGAGUGCUAGGUGUUUGAGGGUUUCCGCCCUUAAGUGCCGCAGCUAACGCAUUAAGCACUCCGCCUGGGGGAGUACGACCGCAAGGUUGAAACUCAAAGGAAUUGACGGGGGACCCGCACAAGCGGUGGAGCAUGUGGUUUAAUUCGAAGCAACGCGAAAGAAACCUUACCAGGGUCUUGACAUCCCUUGACAACUUCCAGAGAUGGGAGCGUUUCCCUUCGGGGACAGGGUGACAGGUGGUUGCCAUGGAUGUCGUCAGCUCGUGUUCGUUGAGAUGGAUUGGGGUUUAGUCCGGCACGAAGCGUCACCCAUUAAUUACCUAGGCUUGC